rnacentral:lncRNA from 1 species
GUGCAGGGCCCGCGAAGGCGGAGUUAGGGAGAGGCCUGGCCUCCUCUUUAGGCCACGGCGCCGCGCAGAUGCUGUCCUCGGGGGACCUCUCUGUCCCAAUUGGGUGAGACCUACCUGGUCCUGAUGACAACAGACAACAGCCUUAACGGCCGGAAGGUCAGCGAAGUCCCGGAUGAGGACGGGUGGAAUGGUAGCGACCAUGGGGCAGUUGGCCUUCCUUCUACCAGACGUUGAUGUGGGAAAAGAGAAACGGAGUAACAGGACACAUUUAGCGAUUUGGAGAUUCCCAUCACGCUUUGGGAGGAUGUACCGGCGUUUAUAGGAGACCUGCGUGUAUAAUAGCCCAAUGGGGUGAUGGUUUUACCUAAAGGAUUUCAAAGCAAUCAGAACAUCCACUCAUGUUGGAUUGGUAAAUUCCAUAGAUUAAAACAACUCUGGCUAUUUAAUGAACUGCUUUUU